rnacentral:rRNA from 1 species
UACAGAGGUCUCGAGCGUUGUUCGGAUUCAUUGGGCGUAAAGGGUGCGUAGGCGGCUUUAUAAGUCGGGGGUGAAAGCCUGUGGCUCAACCACAGAAUUGCCUUCGAUACUGUAGAGCUUGAGACCGGAAGAGGUAAGUGGAACUGCGAGUGUAGAGGUGAAAUUCGUAGAUAUUCGCAAGAACACCAGUGGCGAAGGCGGCUUACUGGUCCGGUUCUGACGCUGAGGCGCGAAAGCGUGGGGAGCAAACAGG